rnacentral:rRNA from 1 species
UCGGCGCGAUCGCCUUACGGCUCAGUAACACGUGGACAACCUAACCUAUGGGAGGGGGAUAACCCCGGGAAACUGGGGAUAAUACCCCAUAGACUAUGGAUGCUGGAAUGCUCUGUAGUUGAAAGGUCAGCCGCCAUAGGAUGGGUCUGCGGCCGAUUAGGUUGUUGUUGGGGUAACGGCCCAACAAGCCUGUAAUCGGUACGGGUUGUGGGAGCAAGAGCCCGGAGAUGGAUUCUGAGACACGAAUCCAGGCCCUACGGGGCGCAGCAGGCGCGAAAACUUUACAAUGCGGGAAACCGUGAUAAGGGAACUCCGAGUGCCCGUAAAAUCGGGCUGUCCAUCUGUUUAAAUAACAGGUGAAGAAAGGGCCGGGCAAGACCGGUGCCAGCCGCCGCGGUAAUACCGGCGGCUCGAGUGGUGGCCACUAUUACUGGGCUUAAAGCGUUCGUAGCUGGUUUGUUAAGUCUCUGGGGAAAUCUGCCGGCUCAACCGGCAGGCGUUCCAGGGAUACUGGCAGACUAGGGACCGGGAGAGGUGAGGGGUACUCCAGGGGUAGGAGUGAAAUCCUGUAAUCCUUGGGGGACCACCUGUGGCGAAGGCGCCUCACCAGAACGGCUCCGACAGUGAGGGACGAAAGCUGGGGGAGCAAACCGGAUUAGAUACCCGGGUAGUCCCAGCCGUAAACGAUGCGCGUUAGGUGUAUCGGUGACCACGAGUCACCGAGGUGCCGAAGAGAAAUCGUGAAACGUGCCGCCUGGAAGUACGGUCGCAAGGCUGAAACUUAAAGGAAUUGGCGGGGGAGCACAA